AGUAGGACCGAAUCUGUCGUGGUUGUCGUCAUGGGUAGCCGAGUCUGCAUCUAUCUUCAUCGUCGUUGGUAGUACCGAAUCUGCAUCUUUGUUUGUCGUCGUGGGUUGAAGCCAAGUUCACCUGAGAUUUUCUGCUCUUACGGGUCUACUUUAUCCAUAACACCUCACAAAGCAUCACCAGCAACUCCAAGAGUUAGUAGACCAAGCAUGGGAGUAGCUAUAUCAGAAUUUGGUUCAGCCUCUCUCCUUUGCAGAAUCAUGCCCCUAAACUCCUUACUAAUGGGUCACAACAACAGCACUGAACCAAUACCAAACAAACAACUCAGUAGCAGCCGCUCCCUCCAAGCCAAUCGAAAGCAAGUCAUGUGGAAAUUUUGAUGAUGAAUUAUAGUUGUAAUUAUAUUUUG